GGUGGCAGCCUGGGUAUAAAUCCUUUGGAACAGGGUAUCAUAGAGGGUGAGAAUCCCGUCUUUGACUCAGUGCAUGCUACUAUGUGAUACGUUUUCAAAGAGUCGAGUUGUUUGGGAAUGCAGCUCAAAAUGGGUGGUAAAUUUCAUCUAAGGCUAAAUAUUGGCGAGAGACCGAUAGCGAACAAGUACCGUGAGGGAAAGAUGAAAAGAACUUUGAAAAGAGAGUUAAACAGUGCGUGAAAUUGUUGAAAGGGAAACGCUUGACACCAGUCAUGCGAGCGGAAAAUCAGUCUUUUGCAGUGGGGAGUUGUGUGGGUUCGGACCGCAAGGCCGGCCUGCGCUGCAUCUCUGCUGUAAGUGAUGCACUUUUUCGUUUGCAGGCCAACAUCAGUUUCUUCUGCUGGACAAAACUCUUGAGAAGGUAGCAGCUUUGGCUGUGUUAUAGCUCUUGAGCGAUACAGUGGAGGGGACUGAGGUUUUCGCAGCGCGUGCUCUCGGGCAAGGCUGAUUGGGUGCUAUGGGAUCGUUCGGUGUACAAUGCUUGCAUUUUGCGCCGUGUCUUUUCUGUACUCGCUCAACUCGGCUCUUCCGCGCUUAGGAUGUUGGCUUAAUGGUUUUAAUCGACCCGUCUUGAAACACGGACCAAGGAGUCUAACAUAUAUGCAAGUGUUUGGGUGGCAAACCCAUGCGCGUAAUGAAAGUGAACGUAGGUGCCAUCCGCAAGGUGCAGCAUCGACCGAUCUUGAUAUUUUUGGAUAGAUUUGAGUAAGAGCAUAUAUGCUGGGACCCGAAAGAUGGUGAACUAUGCCUGAAUAGGGUGAAGCCAGAGGAAACUCUGGUGGAGGCUCGUAGCGAUUCUGACGUGCAAAUCGAUCGUCAAAUUUGGGUAUAGGGGCGAAAGACUAAUCGAACCAUCUUGUUGUU
rnacentral:rRNA from 1 species